rnacentral:rRNA from 1 species
UACAGAGGUGGCAAGCGUUGUUCGGAAUUACUGGGCGUAAAGGGCGCGUAGGCGGUCUUGCAAGUCCUGUGUGAAAUCCCUCGGCUCAACUGAGGAACUGCACUUGAUACUGCCUCGCUUGAGUACUGGAGAGGAGACUGGAAUUUACGGUGUAGCAGUGAAAUGCGUAGAUAUCGUAAGGAAGACCAGUGGCGAAGGCGAGUCUCUGGACAGUUACUGACGCUGAGGCACGAAGGCCAGGGGAGCAAACGGG